rnacentral:rRNA from 1 species
UCAGAUUGAACGCUGGCGGCAGGCCUAACACAUGCAAGUCGAGCGGUAGCACAGAGAGCUUGCUCUCGGGUGACGAGCGGCGGACGGGUGAGUAAUGUCUGGGAAACUGCCUGAUGGAGGGGGAUAACUACUGGAAACGGUAGCUAAUACCGCAUAACGUCGCAAGACCAAAGUGGGGGACCUUCGGGCCUCAUGCCAUCAGAUGUGCCCAGAUGGGAUUAGCUGGUAGGUGGGGUAACGGCUCACCUAGGCGACGAUCCCUAGCUGGUCUGAGAGGAUGACCAGCCACACUGGAACUGAGACACGGUCCAGACUCCUACGGGAGGCAGCAGUGGGGAAUAUUGCACAAUGGGCGCAAGCCUGAUGCAGCCAUGCCGCGUGUGUGAAGAAGGCCUUCGGGUUGUAAAGCACUUUCAGCGGGGAGGAAGGCGGUGAGGUUAAUAACCUCAUCGAUUGACGUUACCCGCAGAAGAAGCACCGGCUAACUCCGUGCCAGCAGCCGCGGUAAUACGGAGGGUGCAAGCGUUAAUCGGAAUUACUGGGCGUAAAGCGCACGCAGGCGGUCUGUCAAGUCGGAUGUGAAAUCCCCGGGCUCAACCUGGGAACUGCAUUCGAAACUGGCAGGCUAGAGUCUUGUAGAGGGGGGUAGAAUUCCAGGUGUAGCGGUGAAAUGCGUAGAGAUCUGGAGGAAUACCGGUGGCGAAGGCGGCCCCCUGGACAAAGACUGACGCUCAGGUGCGAAAGCGUGGGGAGCAAACAGGAUUAGAUACCCUGGUAGUCCACGCUGUAAACGAUGUCGAUUUGGAGGUUGUGCCCUUGAGGCGUGGCUUCCGGAGCUAACGCGUUAAAUCGACCGCCUGGGGAGUACGGCCGCAAGGUUAAAACUCAAAUGAAUUGACGGGGGCCCGCACAAGCGGUGGAGCAUGUGGUUUAAUUCGAUGCAACGCGAAGAACCUUACCUGGUCUUGACAUCCACAGAACUUAGCAGAGAUGCUUUGGUGCCUUCGGGAACUGUGAGACAGGUGCUGCAUGGCUGUCGUCAGCUCGUGUUGUGAAAUGUUGGGUUAAGUCCCGCAACGAGCGCAACCCUUAUCCUUUGUUGCCAGCGGUUCGGCCGGGAACUCAAAGGAGACUGCCAGUGAUAAACUGGAGGAAGGUGGGGAUGACGUCAAGUCAUCAUGGCCCUUACGACCAGGGCUACACACGUGCUACAAUGGCAUAUACAAAGAGAAGCGACCUCGCGAGAGCAAGCGGACCUCAUAAAGUAUGUCGUAGUCCGGAUUGGAGUCUGCAACUCGACUCCAUGAAGUCGGAAUCGCUAGUAAUCGUAGAUCAGAAUGCUACGGUGAAUACGUUCCCGGGCCUUGUACACACCGCCCGUCACACCAUGGGAGUGGGUUGCAAAAGAAGUAGGUAGCUUAACCUUCGGGAGGGCGCUUACCACUUUGUGAUUCAUGACUGGGGUGAAGUCGUAACAAGGUAGCCGUA